rnacentral:rRNA from 1 species
AACAGCAGCCAAAACACCUGCAGUUCAGACUAGGUACUCUAUCUCAAGCGAAGCAUGUUUAGUCCUGGCCAGUACUUGGUUGGGAGACCAAUGAGGAAAGCUGGGUUGCUGCUA